rnacentral:rRNA from 1 species
CUGCGGAGGGAUCAUUACUGAGUUUACGCUCUACAACCCUUUGUGAACAUACCUAUAACUGUUGCUUCGGCGGGCAGGGUCUCCGUGACCCUCCCGGCCUCCCGCCCCCGGGCGGGUCGGCGCCCGCCGGAGGAUAACCAAACUCUGAUUUAACGACGUUUCUUCUGAGUGGUACAAGCAAAUAAUCAAAACUUUUAACAACGGAUCUCUUGGUUCUGGCAUCGAUGAAGAACGCAGCGAAAUGCGAUAAGUAAUGUGAAUUGCAGAAUUCAGUGAAUCAUCGAAUCUUUGAACGCACAUUGCGCCCGCCAGCAUUCUGGCGGGCAUGCCUGUUCGAGCGUCAUUUCAACCCUCAAGCUCUGCUUGGUGUUGGGGCCCUACAGCCGAUGUAGGCCCUCAAAGGUAGUGGCGGACCCUCCCGGAGCCUCCUUUGCGUAGUAACUUUACGUCUCGCACUGGGAUCCGGAGGGACUCUUGCCGUAAAACCCCCAAUUCUCCAAAGGUUGACCUCGGAUCAGGGUAGGAAUACCCGCUGAACUUAA